rnacentral:snoRNA from 1 species
AUGCACCUGUUUGACAGACCUAGAGCAGUUACUGUCUGCUGCUAAGGGUUCCACCACACACGCAAGAGGAAAAUGUCAUCGUGAUUCCUUUCUGAUUGCGGCAGCCAAGAUUGGAUAGAGGAAUAUGGGA